rnacentral:rRNA from 1 species
UGAACGCUGGCGGCAUGCCUAACACAUGCAAGUCGAACGGAAACGAUGGGAGCUUGCUCCCAGGCGUCGAGUGGCGGACGGGUGAGUAAUACUUAGGAAUCUGCCCAUUAGUGGGGGACAACUAGAAGAAAUUCUAGCUAAUACCGCAUACGCCCUACGGGGGAAAGCGGGGGAUCUUCGGACCUCGCGCUAAUGGAUGAGCCUAAGUCGGAUUAGCUUGUUGGUGAGGUAAUGGCUCACCAAGGCGACGAUCCGUAGCUGGUCUGAGAGGACGAUCAGCCACACUGGGACUGAGACACGGCCCUGACUCCUACGGGAGGCAGCAGUGGGGAAUAUUGGACAAUGGGCGCAAGCCUGAUCCAGCAAUGCCGCGUGUGUGAAGAAGGCCUGCGGGUUGUAAAGCACUUUCAGUAGAGAAGAAAAGCGUACGGUUAAUAGCCGUAAGUCUUGACGUAACCUACAGAAGAAGCACCGGCUAACUCC